GUCAGAUGGAUUGAAAUCUAUCGUAAAUCAUUUCCAAAGAAGAAUUAAGAAAAAAUAGAGAAACGACGAACAUUUUACCCUUGCUUUUCCUUUCAGUAUAAACAGAUUCAUUCGGGAUCGAGGCGCAAAAUUUGAUUAUCAAUUAUAUCCCGCGAAAAACCAGUUACGCAGACGACAUUUCCCUCUGAUUUUUUCCGCAUCAAGAUUUGUGAGCGGUUUCCAGAUAACUUCCAGAAGUCGAGUCAAUACAGUGUGAUACCGCGAUUGAACAAUGAUACAACACGGUGAAAAUAUUAACGAAUAUCCACCUUUAAAUUAUUCAUAAGUAAUUACAUGUACAUAAACAAUGUCUUUGAAAUGUCGAA